GCUAAUCAAACUUGGAGAUAGCUCGUACUCCCCGAAAUGCAUUUAGGUGCAGCCUCGGGUAAGGUACUGAUGAGAGGUAGAGCGACUGAUUGGAUGCGAGGGCUUCACCGCCUAUCAAGUCCGGCCAAACUCCGAAUGCUCAUCAGCAACAUCCCGGGAGUGAGGGCAUGGGUGCUAAGGUCCAUGUCCGAGAGGAGAAGAAUCCAGAUCACCGGCUAAGGUCCCCAAAUAGCAGCUAAGUUGCAUUAACGAAGUCCGACCGCAGCGACAGCCAGGAUGUUGGCUUGGAAGCAGCCAUUCAUUUAAAGAGUGCGUAACAGCUCACUGGUCGAGGGGUCGGGCAUGGAUAAUAAUCGGGCAUAAGCUGUUUACCGAAGCUGUGAGAUCGAAAAGAUCGGUAGGGGAGCAUUCCAUUAUCAGCGUUGAAGAUGAGAGGUGACUCUUGUUGGAGCGGAUGGAAAAGCAAAUGCAGGUAUAAGUAACGAUAAAGGGGGUGAAAAACCUCCUCGCCGAAAGACCAAGGGUUCCUGAUCAACGCUAAUCGGAUCAGGGUUAGUCGGGACCUAAGGCUAAGCCGAAGGGCGAUGCCGAUGGAAGAACCGGUUAAUAUUCCGGUACUGCUUUGUGGAGUGAUGUGGAGACGGAGAAGUGACAGCUCGGCCAUCUGACGGAAUAGGUGGUUGAAGGGUGUAGACGUUGAUUGUUGUAGGCAAAUCCGCAACAAGAGUUGAACCUGACAGUAUGCAGCGUACUUGUACAAUGUAAUAAGAGCGUAAUCAGGCUCCCAAGAAAACCCGCUAAACAUAUCUUCAAAGCACCCGUACUCGAAACGGACACACGUGGUCGGGUUGAAAAUACUAAGGCGCUCGAGUGAUUCACGGUUAAGGAACUAGGCAAAAUGGUCCUGUAACUUCGGGAUAAAGGACGCCAAUAGCAAUAUUGGUCGCAGAGAAUAGGCCCAGGCGACUGUUUAACAAAAACACAUGACUAUGCGAAAUCGAAAGAUGAGGUAUAUGGUCUGACACCUGCCCGGUGCUGGAAGGUUAAGAGGAGAUGUCAUCCUGUAAGGGAGAAGCAUUGAAUUGAAGCCCCAGUAAACGGCGGCCGUAACUAUAACGGUCCUAAGGUAGCGAAAUUCCUUGUCGGGUAAGUUCCGACCUGCACGAAUGGUGUAACGAUCUGGGCACUGUCUCAACUGUGAGCUCGGUGAAAUUGUAGUAUCGGUGAAGAUGCCGAUUACCCGCGAUGGGACGAAAAGACCCCGUGAACCUUUACUAUAGCUUUACAUUGAAAUUGGGCAUGCGAUGUGUAGGAUAGGCCGGAGGCUGAGAGACGGUGACGCCAGUCAUCGUGGAGCCGCUGUUGAAAUACGGCCCUUUGUGUGUUUGGUUUCUAACUCCCGGGAAAGGGAGGACGGUGUAUGGUGGGUAGUUUGACUGGGGUGGUCGCCUCCAAAAGCGUAACGGAGGCUUCUAAAGGUUCCCUCAGCACGCUUGGUAACCGUGCGUAGAGUG
rnacentral:rRNA from 1 species